UUCCGGUUGAUCCUGCCGGAGGUUACUGCUAUCGGUGUUCGCCUAAGCCAUGCGAGUCAUAUGUAGCAAUACACGGCGUACUGCUCAGUAACGCGUGGAUAACCUGCCCUUGGGACCGGCAUAACCCCGGGAAACUGGGGAUAAUUCCGGAUAACGCAUAUGUGCUGGAAUGCUUUAUGCGUAAAAUGGAUUCGUCUGCCCAAGGAUGGGUCUGCGGCCUAUCAGGUAGUAGUGGGUGUAAUGUACCUACUAGCCAGCGACGGGUACGGGUUGUGAGAGCAAGAGCCCGGAGAUGGAUUCUGAGACAUGAAUCCAGGCCCUACGGGGCGCAGCAGGCGCGAAAACUUUACAAUGCGGGAAACCGUGAUAAGGGGACACCGAGUGCCAGCAUCAUAUGCUGGCUGUCCAGGUGUGUAAAAUACACCUGUUAGCAAGGGCCGGGCAAGACCGGUGCCAGCCGCCGCGGUAACACCGGCGGCCCGAGUGGUGAUCGUGAUUACUGGGUCUAAAGGGUCCGUAGCCGGUUUGGUCAGUCCUCCGGGAAAUCUGAUAGCUUAACUAUUAGGCUUUCGGGGGAUACUGCCAGACUUGGAACCGGGAGAGGUAAAAGUAC
rnacentral:rRNA from 1 species